rnacentral:lncRNA from 1 species
GUGACAUGCACGGAACACGAACCCCUGUGUGGGCUGGGUGGGUAUAAUUAGGAUUUGGGGUUCCCAGCUCUCACACACAUGGCAGAAACCUGACCCAAACACACAGGACCCCAAGCCACAAUGAGGAGCUGCGUGUGUGCUGGGCUAGAGCUCCAUCCUCUAUUUCUUGAUCUCGCUCCCUCCCCACUUUCCUUUCAGAAUGUCCAGCUCCUCCUCUAAGAGCCAGCCUGAGAAUUAUCAAGCGCUGACCGAGCCCCUCCCACACAGCUCGCUCCACUUACACAGUGGGGAUCCCCCGCAUCCGGAUCCUCUUCCCGACAGGCCAAUAUGGGGGCCUGAGUGUUUGUGGUGGGGGCCACCUACAGCCCUGCCUGGGGCAGGGUAAUGUAGGAUGUCUGGGGGCCCUCCCAGCCCAGCGAGAAGCCUUUACCUCCAGAACCCCUUUUCCAGGCUCCUGGAUUCUCCUGUAGCCGUCGGUUCCCCACUCCUGAGGGACUGGGAUGCCUGUCCUGGGCCUCGGGGAGCUCCUUCAGACAGUGUAGCAGACCCUGGAGGGGACAAUCCCCUGAAACCGCCUCGGUCUUCACUAAGGAAAAAGGAACAUGUUUUCACCUGGAGCUCAGUGUCCUCAGCCUUCAUGACAAACAACAAACAGGGGACAAGUUAGAAGGGCGUGGGGCCAACUCUGAAGAUGAGGCUCUUCCAGUGGCUCGCUGAGUCUUCCCAGUGCCUGGGUCCACACACCUGCCAGAACCGGACAGGGCAAAGAGGGAAGCCAUGGAAUUCGCCCUGCAGGCAGACAAGUGGCAUCACUCUGAGGACAAAUUGAAGGAAGUGGGCUGUCAGGGUCACUGUUUGAGACAGCUCUGGGGUCCUGAACAGAACUUACAUUUGAGGAAAAUGGAGUUGUACAGUAAGUACAUUACUGCAGCUAAGCUCACUGCGGCCCUGUGAGUGGGAACAGCCUAGGCUCAAGGCAUCAGGAGCCUCUCCGGGUCUGACUCCAAGACCUGUGCCCCGGCCCCUCCACCAUGCUGUCCAGAGCCCAAGCCCACCCCAUGCAUCAUGCCUGGCGUCAAUGCAAAGCAACACAUGAGCUCUGCAGCUCUUCCCCUCGGGUCCCAAGUCAGGAGGAGGAAGAGACAUGAAGAAACCAGGGCAAAGCCUGCUUCCGAGUUUCCUUUUCCCAGCUGACCAAACGCUGCCCUUAAGAGAGCCACCUGGCUCCAGAAAGGUGACACUGGCAACACAGCAGCGACCAAGCUGGUAACGAUCCCUAAGGGAGACAGUUUGGAGCAGGAGGAAUCGCUGUUGAAAUG